rnacentral:rRNA from 1 species
UAUUAGCUAAAUUUGUGCCAGCAGCUGCGGUUAAACAAAAAAUACAAAUAAAUUUUAUAAAUAUGAAAGUUAAAUUGAAUUUAUUUAAUUAAUAAAAAAAAUUUUAGGUGAAAUUUUAUUUUUUUAAAAGUUAAUAUAGAAAAUUAUAUUGAAUCUUAAAAAUUUUAUUUUUAAACUAGGAUUAGAUACCCUAUUAUUUAAUUAUUUAAAAAAUAUAAAAAUUAGAGUAGUAAUAGUUAUGAUCUUGAAACUUAAAAAAUUUGGCGGUAUUUUAGUCUAUUCAGAGGAACCUGUAAUUUAAUCGAUAAUCCACGAUGGAUCUAACUUAGUUUUGUAUUUUAAUUUGUAUAUCGCCGUUAUUUGAAAAUUUUAUAAGAAAAAUAAUUUUCGAAAAUUUUUAUUAAAAAAUAAAUCAGGUCAAGGUGCAGUUUAUAAUUAAGGUUUAUAUGGGUUACAAUAAAUUUAUUUAUAUGGAUUAAAAAAUGAAAUAUUUUUAAGAAGGUGGAUU